UUGAAUGCUGCAUACAAGUCAUGCAGGUGCUUCUCCCAUCUUGUUGAUUGAUCUUGCAAUAGUCUUUCUAAUCAGGACAUGCUCUUCUAUUUGUCAACUUCUCCCAUCCAGAGAUGCUUUUGUUUAUUUCCACUGACUCAUAUCAAUUUGAUCUGUGAUACAUGGAACUUCUUCAUUGGAGCCACAUAGCAUAUACUUCGCGAUGUUGUACCAGAUACCUGGAUACAUGCACAAUGGCACCCUGUGAAAUUGGUUUUUGAUGCAGUGCUUUCACAAAGCCAAAGGGAGUAUUUGGCCGAUGAUACCUGGGAAUUUGUAGAGCUGCAAGAACAGAUCACUAAAGGCUAUAUAAGUGUCUGGGCUCUUCAUAAGAAAGAUUUUAAUCAAUUGUGCCUAAAUUUAGGCCUACAAGCACUUCAGCCUUUUGACGCCGCUCGUGCUAGGAGUAGACCAUACAGAGGAUUUGUUUUUUUUUUUUGUUAAAUUAUUUAUUUAAAUUCAAGACCAUUUUCAAUUUAUUGUAAUAAAUAUUAUAUAUUUUUUUUUAUUAUGUAGUACUAUAAAUUUUGUUUAACAUUCAGUUUUAUUUGUA